AUUGAACGCUAGCGGCAGGCCUAACACAUGCAAGUCGAACGAGUGGCGGACGGGUGAGUAAUGUCUGGGAAACUGCCCGAUGGAGGGGGAUAACUACUGGAAAAGGUAGCUAAUACCGCAUACCAUCGGAUGUGCCCAUAUGGGAUUAGCUAGUAGGUGGGGUAACGGCUCACCUAGGCAACGAUCCCUAGCUGGUCUGAGAGGAUGACCAGCCACACUGGAACUGAGACACGGCCCAGACUCCUACGGGAGGCAGCAGUGGGGAAUAUUGGACAAUGGGCGAAAGCCUGAUGCAGCCAUGCCGCGUGUAUGAAGAAGGCCUUCGGGUUGUAAAGUACUUUUAGCGGGGAGGCGUUACUCGCAGAAGAAGCACCGGCUAACUCCGUGCCAGCAGCCGCGGUAAUAC
rnacentral:rRNA from 1 species